rnacentral:lncRNA from 1 species
AAUUUUCUUGUUUCACAGAUGAGAAAAUCAAAGCCCGUAUCAUCUGCUUCACGUCCCGCAUUUACUUAACGCUUCUCCCUCUCUUUCCACGGUCUCCCUCUCAUGCGGAGCCAAAGCUGGACUGUACUGCUGCCAUCUCGGCUCACUGCAACCUCCCUGCCUGAUUCUCCUGCCUCAGCCUGCCGAGUGCCUGCGAUUGCAGGCACGCGCCGCCACGCCUGACUGGUUUUGGUGGAGACGGGGUUUUGCUGUGUUGGCCGGGCCAGUCUCCAGCCCCUAACCGCGAGUGAUCUGCCAGCCUCGGCCUCCCGAGGUGCCGGGAUUGCAGACGGAGUCUCAUUCACUCAGUGCUCAAUGGUGCCCAGGCUGGAGUGCAGUGGCCUGAUCUCAGCUCGCUACAACCUACACCUCCCAGCCGCCUGCCUUGGCCUCCCAAAGUGCCGAGAUUGCAGCCUCUGCCCGGCCGCCACCCCGUCUGGGAAGUGAGGAGUGUCUCUGCCUGGCCAACCAUCGUCUGGGAUGUGAGGAGCCCCUCUGCCUGGCUGCCCAGUCUGGAAAGUGAGGAGCGUCUCUGCCCGGCCGCCAUCCCAUCUAGGAAGUGAGGAGCACCUCUUCCCGGCCGUCAUCACAUCUAGGAAGUGAGGAGCGUCUCUGCCCGGCCGCCCAUCGUCUGAGAUGUGGGGAGCGCCUCUGCCCCACUGCCCCGUCUGGGAUGUGAGGAGCGCCUCUGCCCGGCCACGACCCCGUCUGGGAGGUGAGGAGCGUCUCUGCCCGGCCGCCCCAUCUGAGAAGUGAGGAGACCCUCUGCCUGGCAACCACCCCGUCUGAGAAGUGAGGAGCCCCUCCGCCCGGCAGCUGCCCCGUCUGAGAAGUGAGGAGCCUCUCCGCCCGGCAGCCACCCCAUCUGGGAAGUGAGGAGCGUCUCCGCCUGGCCAGCCGCCCUGUCCGGGAGGGAGGUGGGGGGGUCAGCCCCCCGCCCGGCCACCCGCCCCAUCCGGGAGGGAGGUGGGGGGGUCAGCCCCCCGCCCGGCCAGCCGCCCCGUCUGGGAGGUGAGGGGCACCUCUGCCCGGCCACCCCUACUGGGAAGUGAAGAGCCCCUCUGCCCAGCAAGACGCCCCGUCCGGGAGGGAGGUGGGGGGGUCAGCCCCCUGCCCGGCCAGCUGCCCCAUCCGGGAGGGAGGUGGGGGGGUCAGCCCCCCACCCGGCCAGCCGCCCUGUCCAGGAGGGAGGUGGGGGGUCAGCCCCCCGCCCGGCCAGCCGCCCCGUCCGGGAGGUGAGGGGCGCCUCUGCCCGGCCGCCCCUACUGGGAAGUGAGGAGCCCCUCUGCCCAGCCACCACCCCGUCUGGGAGGUGUGCCCAACAGCUCAUUGAGAACGGGCCAGGAUGACAAUGGCGGCUUUGUGGAAUAGAAAGGCAGGAAAGGUGGGGAAAAGAUUGAGAAAUCGGAU